rnacentral:rRNA from 1 species
UACGGAGGAUGCGAGCGUUAUCCGGAUUUAUUGGGUUUAAAGGGUGCGUAGGCGGGAUGCCAAGUCAGCGGUAAAAAUGCGGUGCUCAACGCCGUCAAGCCGUUGAAACUGGCGUUCUUGAGUGGGCGAGAAGUAUGCGGAAUGCGUGGUGUAGCGGUGAAAUGCAUAGAUAUCACGCAGAACUCCGAUUGCGAAGGCAGCAUACCGGCGCCCUACUGACGCUGAGGCACGAAAGCGUGGGUAUCGAACAGG